CCAAUAGCGUAUAUUAAAGUUGUUGCAGUUAAAAAGCUCGUAGUUGAAUUUCGGGAUUAAUAUGUUGGUCGUGCCUUGGUACGUACUGGCAUUAUUGGUUCCUACCUUCUGAAGAACCUCGAUGUCAUUAAUUUGGUGUCUUGGGGAAUCAGGACUGUUACUUUGAAAAAAUUAGAGUGUUUAAAGCAGGCUCGCGCUUGAAUACAUUAGCAUGGAAUAAUGAAAUAGGACGUUUGAUUCUAUUUUGUUGGUUUCUAGGAUCGACGUAAUGAUUAAUAGGGAUAGUUGGGGGCAUUAGUAUUCAAUUGUCAGAGGUGAAAUUCUUGGAUUUAUUGAAGACUGACUACUGCGAAAGCAUUUGCCAAGGAUGUUUUCAUUAAUCAAGAACGAAAGUUAGGGGAUCGAAGACGAUCAGAUACCGUCGUAGUCUUAACCAUAAACUAUGCCGACUAGGGAUCGGAUGAUGUUAAUUUUUUAAUGACUCAUUCGGCGCCUUACG
rnacentral:rRNA from 1 species